GUAACUGACACCUGAAGACAGGACACACAGAAAACAACUCACUCUGUGAGAUCUUUGCUGAUCUGAUCAUCAUGAGAAUAAGCUGUGUGAAGACUUUGUUUCCAGUCUUGUCUGUCACUGCGGUGUUUCUCUAUAUGAGCUCGGUCAAGUGGGAAAUCCAAACUCAAGAGAAGCAGCUCCACCAAGUCCAGCAGAACAACGAACAGCUCCUCAACAAGCUGGACAAACUGGAGGCUCAUUUAAUAGCCGUGGAAGAGAAAAGCCUUAAAGUGAAACAUGAGAAGAAGCCAGCAAAGAAGCUGUUCCCAAACUCACACCUUUUCAAGCAAUGGACUGUUGAACUUUCUGAGGAUGACCAGAGGAAGGCUGAAGAUCUCUUUCAGAAAUAUGGCUAUAAUGCCUUUCUUAGUGACCAAUUGCCUCUGGACCGGGAGCUGCCGGACACUCGAGACCACAGAUGCAUUGACCGUGAAUACCCCCACAAUCUGCCCACCAUCAGCGUGGUGCUGAUUUAUCUGGAUGAGGCUCUGUCUGUCAUUCAAAGAGCCAUUUGCAGCAUCAUCAACAGAACUCCAGCCCACCUGCUCAAGGAGAUCAUACUGGUGGACGACCACAGCACAAAUGAAAAUCUGAAAACACAGCUGCAUGCUUAUGUCAGCUCCAUCAAUGAGAAGCACCCAGGGCUGCUGAAGAUGGUGAGUCAUUCAAAGCAGAAAGGACUUUCCCAGGCCAGAAUCUCAGGGUGGAAGGCAGCCACUGGGGAUGUGAUUGCCAUUUUGGAUGCCCACAUUGAGGUCCAUGUCAAAUGGGCGGAGCCUCUGCUUGCACGUAUCCAGGCUGACCGUACGUUGGUCCUGAGCCCCGUGUUUGAUAAAGUCAAUUACUAUGACUUGCAAGUGACAAAAUAUUUUGCCUCUGCUCAUGGCUUUGACUGGGCUCUAUGGUGCAUGUACGUGGCAUUCCCCCAGAAGUGGUAUGAACAAAAUGAUCCUUCACAGCCAGGAAAGAGUCCCUCUGUAAUGGGAAUUCUUGUGGUUGAUCGCCUGUUCUUCGGUGAGAUUGGGACUCUGGAUGGAGGGAUGGAGGUGUAUGGAGGAGAGAAUGUUGAAUUAGGAAUACGGGUGUGGCUGUGUGGAGGAAGUAUAGAAGUUGUACCCUGCUCUAAAAUUGCUCAUAUCGAAAGGUCACACAAACCCUACAUGCCUGAUCUUAGAAAUGUAAUGAAGAGAAAUGCCCUCAGAGUGGCAGAAGUUUGGAUGGAUGAAUACAAGGCAAAUGUGAACAUCGCCUGGGGUCUUCCCAUACAGAACCAUGGGAUAGACAUUGGUGAUGUAUCUGAGAGAAAGAAGCUGAGAAAAAGGCUAAAUUGCAAGCCAUUUAAGUGGUAUCUGGAAAAUGUCUAUACUCAAUUAAAUCCCAUUCAUAUUUUAGCUUAUGGAGCGCUUAUUAAUGAUCUGCAAACAAGUUUAUGUUUGGAUAAGGGGCCACUUGAGGAGAACACUCCUAUUUCAUAUCCAUGUCAUUUCAUGGAAUCACAGACAUUUUAUUAUACGGCACGUGGUGAGAUAUUUGUAUAUCCCCUUCAGUCCCUUAAAAACAAUGGGAACCGCUGUCUAAUUGAUCCUGGCUCAGGCAGGUUUCCAGAGCUGUCCUGGUGUUUAGACACUGAAAAACAAAAACACAUGUACUGGGACUUCAAACAGGGACAGGCCAUACAGAACAGAGACACCAAACGCUGUCUGGAGAUCAGCGCUCAGCAGACAGAAAAGUAUGAAAAGAACGUUUUUCUUCAGGAGUGCAGAAACCAACACUGGAAGAUGCAGAAUGUAAUUCAGGACUUUUGAAAUGCAAGAUAUAAUCAACUUAUAUAAACACAGCUGCCAUGCUGAAGAAGCAUCAUAGAAAGUGUUAACUAUGAGAAGAUAGGUGCUAAGAAAUAACACAAAAAUAUUAUAUGGCUGAUGAAAGUAAAAAUAAAAUUAAGACUCAGAAAGAGAAUAAUAAUACAGUCAUAUUACAGUUUGAAUAGUCUAAAAAAUAAAACAUUUAACUUGCAUGUCAUGUCUCCAUUAACUGGCAUCAGAGAACCGUGAAAUCUCAGUGAAUACUUCAAAUAAAUAUAUCAAAGAGGUUCGGCUGACAAAAAAGUUUGGGAAAUAAUGGAAAAGAGCAGGAGAUUGUGUCAGUUACAUUUGUAACCCUCGUUAUGCCGACUGACAUCACAGGGUCUCACUUUGGAGCUUUUCUUUUCUCACCUCUGAGCUUAAGAAGAAAAGGCCAAUGAGAAUUGGCUAAUGGAAUUUGCAUGCCGCACCACACCUCUGUACAUACGAGUAUAACAGAUGGUGGCGUUCAACCACUCAUUCAGACAUAUCCUGGCAUUCAGCGCAAUUCAGGAUUGUGGCAGGAGGGACGUAAUGUCUCCGUUCCCUCUUCCAGGGAACGAGGGUUACAAACGUAACCGAGACAUUCCCUUGCAGUCAGUCAUGUUCAACGUCACGUCAACUGACGUCACGGGGUCCCUAUGGAAAACACACAACCUGAACUGCGUUAUGCAUUUGAGGGACAAAUACUGACAGGCAAGCAUGUUAGGACAAAUGAAGCUUGAUUUGUAACCUUCCCAACGCAUUGUUAGCCAGAUUAUGGGCCCACCAGGGGUGCCAGGGUUCUGAAGCUCACGUUGGGGGGUAGAGCACAAUGACAAAAGUAACGUCUUGUGGAGAAUUUCAGAAAAGUUAGGAAAAAGGGGAAACACGGUGGGCAUACACUGUGGGAAUACUGAGACAUUAAUUCCAAGUCCGAAGGGGGGAAGGAAGCCCCUACUGGACGCAGUGACAGACUACUCAGUCUAGUCUGAACUGCGGGGCACAGAGGACCCAGAGUUCACAGAGUGGGAACAACUAGGAGAAAGUGCACGGAUCCAAAGGGAAUGGCGCUGCAAGCCGACAGCGAGCCGGCCUCCUGCAAGUUACUUGUUGCGACAUGUGACAGGAGCGAACACCGUCCUGGUGGUGUUGUCUGUACUGACUAGUACAUGCUUGCCAUACAGCAAUGGACGAAACCAGUGAAGA